rnacentral:rRNA from 1 species
GACGAACGCUGGCGGCGUGCUUAACACAUGCAAGUCGAACGGAAAGGCCCUGCUUUUGUGGGGUGCUCGAGUGGCGAACGGGGGAGUAACACGUGAGUAACCUGCCCUUGACUUUGGGAUAACUUCAGGAAACUGGGGCUAAUAUCGGAUAGGAGCUCCUGCUGCAUGGUGGGGGUUGGAAAGUUUCGGCGGUUGGGGAUGGACUCGCGGCUUAUCAGCUUGUUGGUGGGGUAGUGGCUUACCAAGGCUUUGACGGGUAGCCGGCCUGAGAGGGUGACCGGGCACAUUGGGACUGAGAUACGGCCCAGACUCCUACUGGAGGCAGCAGUGGGGAAUAUUGCACAAUGGGCGGAAGCCUGAUGCAGCAACGCCGCGUGCGGGAUGACGGCCUUCGGGUUGUAAACCGCUUUCGCCUGUGACGAAGCGUGAGUGACGGUAAUGGGUAAAGAAGCACCGGCUAACUACGUG